GGGGAUUUAGCUCCGUGGUCACAGUGCCUGCCUUACAAGCGCAAGGUCCCGAGUUCGAUCCCCGGAACCCCCG
rnacentral:tRNA from 1 species